rnacentral:rRNA from 1 species
GAGGAAUAUUGGACAAUGGGCGGAAGCCUGAUCCAGCCAUGCCGCGUGCAGGAAUAAGGUCCUAUGGAUUGUAAACUGCUUUUAUACGAGAAGAAAUAGUGCUACGUGUAGUAUGUUGACGGUAUCGUAUGAAUAAGCACCGGCUAACUCCGUGCCAGCAGCCGCGGUAAUACGGAGGGUGCAAGCGUUAUCCGGAAUCAUUGGGUUUAAAGGGUCCGUAGGCGGUUUAAUAAGUCAGUGGUGAAAUCCAGUCGCUCAACGAUUGAACUGCCAUUGAUACUGUUAGACUUGAAUUAUUGUGAAGUAACUAGAAUAUGUAGUGUAGCGGUGAAAUGCUUAGAUAUUACAUGGAAUACCAAUUGCGAAGGCAGGUUACUAAUGGUAUAUUGACGCUGAUGGACGAAAGCGUGGGUAGCGAAC